rnacentral:rRNA from 1 species
CCUACGGGAGGCAGCAGUGGGGAAUAUUGCGCAAUGGGCGAAAGCCUGACGCAGCGACGCCGCGUGAGGGAUGAAGGUCUUCGGAUCGUACACCUCUGUCAGCAGGGAAGAACGGUCACUGUGCUAAUCAGCAGUGAAUUGACGGUACCUGCAAAGGAAGCACCGGCGAACUCCGUGCCAGCAGCCGCGGUAAUACGGAGGGUGCGAGCGUUAAUCGGAAUUACUGGGCGUAAAGCGCUCGUAGGCGGUAUGUCAAGUCAAGGGGUAAAUCCCCGCGCUCAACGUGGGAACUGCCUUUGAAACGGGCAAACUGGAGUGUUGGAGAGGAUAGUGGAAUUCCAGGUGUAGGAGUGAAAUCCGGAGAUAUCUGGAGGAACAUCAGUGGCGAAGGCGACUAUCUGGCACAUAACUGACGCUGAGGAGCGAAAGCGUGGGUAGCAAACAGGAUUAGAUACCCCAGUAGUC